rnacentral:rRNA from 1 species
GACGAACGCUGGCGGCGUGCUUAACACAUGCAAGUCGAACGAUGAUCAGGAGCUUGCUCCUGUGAUUAGUGGCGAACGGGUGAGUAACACGUGAGUAACCUGCCCCUGACUCUGGGAUAAGCGUUGGAAACGACGUCUAAUACUGGAUAUGAUCACUGGCCGCAUGGUCUGGUGGUGGAAAGAUUUUUUGGUUGGGGAUGGACUCGCGGCCUAUCAGCUUGUUGGUGAGGUAAUGGCUCACCAAGGCGACGACGGGUAGCCGGCCUGAGAGGGUGACCGGCCACACUGGGACUGAGACACGGCCCAGACUCCUACGGGAGGCAGCAGUGGGGAAUAUUGCACAAUGGGCGAAAGCCUGAUGCAGCAACGCCGCGUGAGGGAUGACAGCCUUCGGGUUGUAAACCUCUUUUAGUAGGGAAGAAGCGAAAGUGACGGUACCUGCAGAAAAAGCACCGGCUAACUACGUG